rnacentral:rRNA from 1 species
UGAGGAAUCUUCCACAAUGGGCGCAAGCCUGAUGGAGCAACGCCGCGUGCAGGAUGAAGGCCUUCGGGUUGUAAACUGCUUUUAAGAGUGAAGAAUAUGACGGUAACUCUUGAAUAAGGAUCGGCUAACUACGUGCCAGCAGCCGCGGUCAUACGUAGGAUCCAAGCGUUAUCCGGAGUGACUGGGCGUAAAGGGUUUCGUAGGCGGUAUGUUAAGCGAGUAGUGAAAUCAAGUGGCUCAACCAUUUGGCUAUUACUCGAACUGGCAUACUCGAGAAUGGGAGAGGUAACUGGAAUUUCUAGUGUAGGAGUGAAAUCCGUAGAUAUUAGAAGGAACACCAAUGGCGUAGGCAGGUUACUAGACCAUUUCUGACGCUAAGGAACGAAAGCGUGGGGAGCGA